rnacentral:rRNA from 1 species
UACGAAGGGGGCUAGCGUUGUUCGGAAUUACUGGGCGUAAAGCGCACGUAGGCGGACCUGUCAGUCAGAGGUGAAAUCCCGGAGCUUAACUUCGGAACUGCCUUUGAUACUGCAGGUCUUUGAGGAUGGGAGAGGUGAGUGGAACUGCGAGUGUAGAGGUGAAAUUCGUAGAUAUUCGCAAGAACACCAGUGGCGAAGGCGGCUAUCUGGACCGUAACUGACGCUGAGGCGCGAAAGCGUGGGGAGCAAACAGG